ACUUUCAACCAGAACCCAGCCUCGAUCCCUCCAUGGAAGAUGAGCUAGGUCACCACUGACCUGGCAUGAAUAGGAGCCAGUCAGCAAGAGGGGCACCUGGAAGAGUGCUGGAGAAGGAAAAUGGUUACGUCUAAAGGUGAGAGAGAGCAUGACAUGGAAGACGAGGCAGGUAGGAGCAGAAGGAUGAGACCGAGCCAAGGACGGUGCGAGAACCCGGAUGCUGGGCUGGGUUUUCCAGCCUCUCUCCAAGAGAGAGUGUUUCUCAAAGUGGAGCCUAGCUCUUUCCCAUCACGUUUGGCACCCUGAAUGAUCU
rnacentral:lncRNA from 1 species